UGAGGAAUAUUGGUCAAUGGGCGCAAGCCUGUACCAGCCAUGCCGCGUGCAGGAUGAAGCAUCUAUGGUGUGUAAACUGCUUUUGUACGGGAAGAAACCACCCCUCGUGAGGGGUAUUGACGGUACCGUAAGAAUAAGGAUCGGCUAACUCCGUGCCAGCAGCCGCGGUAAUACGGAGGAUCCAAGCGUUAUCCGGAAUCAUUGGGUUUAAAGGGUCCGUAGGCGGGUCUGUAAGUCAGUGGUGAAAUCUCCCCGCUCAACGGGGAAACUGCCAUUGAUACUGCAGGUCUUGAAUUAUUGGGAAGUAACUAGAAUAUGUAGUGUAGCGGUGAAAUGCUUAGAGAUUACAUAGAACACCGAUUGCGAAGGCAGCUUGCUACAGGAUUAUUGACACUGAGGCUCGAAAGCGGGGGGAUCAAACA
rnacentral:rRNA from 1 species